GGUGUGGGGAGAAAGCGACUGUGGGAACGUGUCUCGACCGAGCGCUUGGAUUCAGCUUCUUCAUUUCCAGCAUGGAAGAAACUUACAUCGAUUCCCUGGACCCCGAAAAGCUAUUACAAUGCCCCUAUGAUAAAAACCACCAGAUCAGGGCCUGCAGGUUUCCUUAUCAUCUUAUCAAGUGCAGAAAGAAUCAUCCUGAUGUCGCAAACAAAUUGGCUACUUGUCCCUUCAAUGCUCGCCACCAGGUUCCUCGGGCCGAAAUCAGUCAUCAUAUCUCAAGCUGUGACGAUAAAAGUUGUAUUGAGCAGGAUGUUGUCAACCAAACCAGGAACCUUGGACCAGAGACUCUGGCUGAGAGCACAUGGCAGUGCCCUCCUUGCGAUGAGGACUGGGAUAAAGAUCUUUGGGAACAGACCAGCACCCCAUUUGUCUGGGGCACAGCCAACUACUGUGGCAACAACAGCCCUGCAAGCAACAUAGUUAUGGAACCUAAGAGUAACCUGGCUUCAGGCAUGCGUGUUCCCAAGUCUCUGCCAUAUGUUCUGCCAUGGAAAAACAAUGGAAAUGCACAGUAACUGAAUAGCUCAUCAAAUGCCAGACUCUAGAAGACUCUUGCUUCUUCCUGCUACCAGUGGGUUCUUCGUGGUUUUUUUCCUCCUAAUCUAAUUAUAGAAAGAUAAACUGUCUGUGACUUUCAAACUGACAAGUACCUUUUUUUUUCCUCCAUGCUUUGAGUCUUUACUCAUUUGAUG